rnacentral:lncRNA from 1 species
GGACAGUGAGACAUAUGAACAAGCCCAUAUCCAAUGUACAAGGCAGUUCUAAUCAGGAAAAUUCUUUUUUUCAGGAUGUAAAGAGACUGAUGUAAUCAUCUUCCUACUAAGAAGAUACAUGGUCUCUUUCAGGGAUAGUGCUACAUUGAGGGCUAAUGUUUGUUGCUGCUGCCAUCAGGCUGGACAUUCAACAAUAGCUAGAUCAGUCUUGGUAAGAUGAAACCCACACCUCUGGGUUCAUGCAUAGUCUCUCUCUGUCUUUAUGAUGACUCAAUUCAAGGCCCCAAUUUGUGCACAUUAAGCAUCUGAGGAUAGAGGUUGGUUUAUAGGUAUUGAAUAAAUCAUUCUGUCAACCUAGCUAUUUAAAAUCUCUUCUGUAGAUGGAUGGUCUCUGGUGGACCUGAAUCUGUGAUACAUAGAUUCUCACACUUUAUGCCUAUUCUUGCAGCACCAUACUUAUGCAUCUUUCCCAGGCUAGUAAGGAUGAUCUCGUCAAUCAGUGGUGCUGGGCCAACAGCAUAUCUCUAGGUCUGGUGCACAGAACUCAACCAAUAUUUGUUGAACACAUGCUGAAUUGAAGUAGAAUGAAUGCAAAUGGGAUAAAAAGAAAGUUGAAGUGACUAUGUAAAAUCAGACAAAGACUUCACGAAGAGUUUAUGGCCAUGAAUAAAGACAAACAUUAUAUAAUAUAAAGAAGCCA